AAGGGAAAAACAGAAACAUGAAAAGACAAACAUUUCAUUUAACUUAUGGUAUCGUGAGCAGUCACUUUUUUAGGCAACACUUUUUUCUUUGUAGAAAAGAAAUAAAAAACAAACAGCACCAUUAAAGAAUGCAUGAUCCCUGAAUUCUAAACAAAACACUGCCUAAAAAUUGUUUCAAUGCUUGUUGCACUCCGUCACAUUUAGUCAGGUAUCAAAGCAAGCAUAACAGUAUUAAAUUGUAGCAGUCUUACUGAUUCAACUGCUCCCCCUUCUGAGGAUUUUACACACCUUUUCUGAGUUUUUCCUGUGGGAAUAAUAUAUUCUUUGGUAGAGGGCUGAAGGAGGGUUGGACUUUGCUGUAUGCUGAUAUAAAAUGUCUGUGUACGUUCCGGGCCUUUGCCCCCAAAUCUGUAUUUGUCAUGCAUGUUAUGUUUGGGUUGAUUCACAUUUUGCUGUUACACUGUAAGAGUAAUACCGCCUUUUAAAAAAGGCAUUAAAUGGCUAAUGUCAAACAGAUGUAAACAUUC
rnacentral:lncRNA from 1 species